GUAUGUGGAAUUGAAGUUGAU
rnacentral:miRNA from 1 species